rnacentral:rRNA from 1 species
UACAGAGGGGGCAAGCGUUGUUCGGAAUUACUGGGCGUAAAGGGCGCGUAGGCGGCCUGCUAAGUCGAACGUGAAAUCCCCGAGCUCAACUCGGGAACUGCGUCCGAUACUGGCAGGCUUGAAUCCGGGAGAGGGAUGCGGAAUUCCAGGUGUAGCGGUGAAAUGCGUAGAUAUCUGGAGGAACACCGGUGGCGAAGGCGGCAUCCUGGACCGGCAUUGACGCUGAGGCGCGAAAGCCUGGGGAGCAAACGGG